GUUUGAUUCUGGCUCAGGAUGAACGCUGGCGGCAUGCCUAAUACAUGCAAGUCGAACGGAGUGAAGCCUUCGGGUUUCAUUCAGUGGCGAACGGGUGAGUAAUACGCAGGGAACCUGGCCAUGGCAGGGGGAUACACUCUGGAAACGGAGCAUAAGACCCCAUAGGCAGUAAGGCGGCAUCGCCUUACUGUUAAAGAAAGCUGAAAGGCUUUGGCGAUGGAUGGACCUGCGGUGCAUUAGCUUGUUGGUGAGGCAACGGCUUACCAAGGCGAUGAUGCAUAGCCGGCCUGAGAGGGCGGACGGCCACACUGGGACUGAGACACGGCCCAGACUCCUGCGGGAGGCAGCAGUAGGGAAUUUUCGUCAAUGGGCGCAAGCCUGAACGAGCAAUGCCGCGUGAGUGAGGAAGGUCUUCGGACUGUAAAGCUCUGUUGCCGGGGAAAAAGGGGAAAUGCAGGAAAUAGCAUUUCAUGGAUGGUACCCGGCCAGAAAGCCACGGCUAACUACGUGCCAGCAGCCGCGGUAAUACGUAGGUGGCGAGCGUUAUCCGGAAUGAUUGGGCGUAAAGGGUGCGCAGGCGGUCUGUUAAGUCUGAAGGCAAAGGGAUGAGCUCAACUCAUUUAUGAUUCAGAAACUGGCAGACUUGAGGACAGGAGAGGGCGGUGGAACUCCAUGUGUAGCGGUAAAAUGCGCAGAGAUAUGGAAGAACACCAGUGGCGAAGGCGGCCGCCUGGCCUGUGACUGACGCUGAGGCACGAAAGCGUGGGGAGCAAAUAGGAUUAGAUACCCUAGUAGUCCACGCCGUAAACGAUGAGGAGCAGGUGUUGGGAGUGAAAUCUCAGUGCCGAAGCCAACGCAGUGACUCCUCCGCCUGGGGAGUAUGCACGCAAGUGUGAAACUCAAAGGAAUUGACGGGGGCCCGCACAAGCGGUGGAGUAUGUGGUUUAAUUCGAAGCAACGCGAAGAACCUUACCAGGUUUUGACAUCGGAUGCGAAGGCGCAGAGAUGCGCUGGAGGCUAUCAUCCAGACAGGUGGUGCAUGGUUGUCGUCAGCUCGUGUCGUGAGAUGUUCAGUUAAGUCUGGCAACGAGCGCAACCCCCGUGGUAUGUUACUAACGCUUUAGGGCGAGGACUCAUAUCAGACUGCCGGUGACAAACCGGAGGAAGGCGGGGAUGACGUCAAAUCAUCAUGCCCCUUAUGACCUGGGCUACACACGUACUACAAUGGCGUCUACAGAGGGAAGCGACCCUGAGAAGGGAAGCGAAACCGGAAAAGGGCGUCCCAGUUCGGAUUGAAGUCUGCAACCCGACUUCAUGAAGAUGGAAUCGCUAGUAAUCGCGGAUCAGCAUGCCGCGGUGAAUACGUUCCCGGGCCUUGUACACACCGCCCGUCAAACCAUGGAAGCCGGCAACGCCCGAAGCCGGUGGCAUAACCUUUUAGGAGUGAGCCGUCGAAGGCGGGGCCGAUGACUGGGGUUAAGUCGUAACAAGGUACCC
rnacentral:rRNA from 1 species